AGCGAACGUUAGCGGUGUGGAUUAGGCAUGCAAGUCGCGCGCGAAAGUCUUCGGACGAGUAAAGCGGCGGACGGGUGAGUAACACGUAAUCAACCUACCCCUGAGACUGGAAUAACCACUGGAAACGGUGGGUAAUGCCGGAUGGCCCGUGGAGGUGGCAUCAUCACCACGGUAAAUGGCUUCGGCUGCUCGGGGAGGGGAUUGCGGGCUAUUAGCUAGUUGGUGAGGUAACGGCUCACCAAGGCGAUGAUGGCUAACAGGUCUGAGAGGACGACCUGUCACACUGGGACUGAGACACUGCCCAGACUCCUACGGGAGGCUGCAGUCGAGAAUCUUCCGCAAUGGGCGAAAGCCUGACGGAGCGACACCGCGUGCAGGAUGAAGGCCUUUGGGUCGUAAACUGCUGUCACGCUAUAGGAAAACUGACUAAAGCGAGAGGAAGCACCGGCUAACUCUGUGCCAGCAGCCGCGGUAAUACAGAGGGUGCAAACGUUGCUCGGAAUCACUGGGCAUAAAGCGCACGUAGGCGGUACGUUAAGUCGGAUGUGAAAUCCCUGGGCUCAACUCAGGAACUGCAUCCGAUACUGGCGGACUCGAGGACGGUUGGGGUGAGCGGAACUCCAGGUGGAGCGGUGAAAUGCAUAGAUAUCUGGAGGAACACCGGUGGCGAAAGCGGCUCACUGGACCGUAACUGACGCUGAGGUGCGAAAGCUAGGGUAGCAAACGGGAUUAGAUACCCCGGUAGUCCUAGCCGUAAACAAUGGGCACUGGGUAAAGGGGACACCUAUGGUUCUCUUUGCCGUAGCUAAUGUGUUAAGUGCCCCGCCUGGGGAGUACGCUCGCAAGGGUA
rnacentral:rRNA from 1 species